GGACCUACCUGUUGUCCUGGUUUCCUACAUUGAGCUGUGUGAGCUCUUCAACCCAGGCGGGGCACCCCGGCAUUCACGGGCAUAGGAGGUGAGUGGGGCGUGGAUGCAGACCCACCAGAGAAAACUGUGGCCCUUGGACCCCAGGUUGUGAUUUCCAAUCAUGAAACGGGAGGAAGAGUGGUGUUGGGACCAAUGGCCCUGGGCCAGUGUCAGUCAGCCUGGCGUCCAGCCCCUGCUAUGCUGAAGCUCAGGCCCUGACUGGUGCCCUAGUCUCCUGCACUGAGCUUGUGAGCUCUCCUGCUCAGGCGGGUCCCCUGGCAUUGACAAGCAUAGAUAGUGAACCUGGAAGAAGACUCUUCUUGGGUCCCCUAGCCCCAAGCCAAUGUCCAUCAGCCAGAUGCCAGACCCUGGUGCACUGAAGCUCAUGCCCUUCCUGGUGCCCUGGUCUCCUGCACUGAGCUGUGUGAGCUCUUUCACUCAGCAGACUCCCUGGCAUUGACUGGCAUAGAUGGUGGCCCUGGAAGAGGACUUGUAUUGGGGCCGCUGGCCCCACGUCAGUGUCUGUCAGCCCGGCGUCCAGCCCCUGAUGUGGUGAAGCUCAGGCCCUUCCUGUUGCCAUAGUCUCCUGCACUGAGCUUGGUGAGCCCAUUCAGUGAGCUCUCCUGCUCAGGCGGGUCCCCUGGCCUUGACAAGCAUAGAUCUGAGGCCCUGUUUGGACACCUGACCCCCACCCCUCCAGAUAGUGAACCUGGAAGAAGGCUCUUCUUGGGUCCCCUAGCCCCAAGCCAAAGUCUAUCAGCCAGAUGCCAGACCCCGGUGCACUGAAGCUCAUGCCCUUCCUGGUGCCCUGGUCUCCUGCACUGAGCUGUGUGAGCUCUUUCGCCCAGCAGACUCCCUGGCAUUGACCAGCAUAGAUGGUGGCCCUGGAAGAGGACUUGUAUUGGGGCCGCUGGCCCCACGUCAGUGUCCGUCAGCCUGGCGUCCAGCCCCUGAUGUGCUGAAGCUCAGGCCCUUCCUGUUGCCAUAGUCUCCUGCACUGAGCUUGGUGAGCCCUUUCAGUGAGCUCUCCUGCUCAGGCGGGUCCCCUGGCCUUGACAAGCAUAGAUGGUGGCCCUGGAGGAGGACUUUUAUUAGGGCCGUUGGCUCUACAUCACUGUCCAUCGGUCAGCCCGGCGUCCAGCCUGUGUUAUGCUGAAUCUCAGGCCCUUCCUGGUGCCCUAGUCACUGUACUAAGCUUGUGAGCUCUUCUGCCCAGCCGGUCCCCAUGGUCUUGAUGGGCAUAGGGUUCGGUAGCAGGGAGGGCCAAGGGUCCCCCGCGUCCAUGACAGAUGGUGAGCCCAGAGGAAGACCCCCUGGUUCUGGGCCAGUGUCCGUCAGCCAGGUCCCUGGCCCCCAGUGCCCUGAAGCUCAGGCCCUUCCCAAUGCCCUGGUCUCCUGCACUGAGCUGUGUGAGCUCUUCUGCCCAGGUGGGCCCUCUGACAUUGACCGGCACAGGUGAGUGGAUCCUGCUUAGGUCAUGGGUCAUGAGCGAGGCAAAGUGGGGUCACCAAGCAGAUGCCUUCAGGCCAUGAGAGUUUCCUAAAAGUGUGGACCUUAAUUCCCACCGGGGAUGAGUUGUCCAGAAGGGUCACUUCCUUGGGAAUCAAACCCAAGAAGGAUGCCUAUCCUGAAGCCCAGCAGGGGUGAUGGUGGUCCAGGCAGGAAAGGGUUCAUUCAGCCCCAUGCAGGCAGCUCCCAUCUGAGGCUCGGUGCAUCGGUCAGGCCCUGAGGACUGCCCAGGACACGUGAGGUGGCCGCAGGGUCUCCGGGGUGCUACGGGGGGUCUGCAGAGAGGGGUAGGCGAUCGGGUCUGUGGGGGUCAUGCCGUGGAGUUUCAAGGACUCCCAUGGCCCUGAAUGGGACUGACCCUGUUGAGCAAUGUGUCAUCCCAGUGGCACCUCCUUGAGUCUGGUGGUGGGUGGUGCCGUUUCCCUGGGGCUAGGUCAAGGCUGAGCUCUGGCCAGUGCCUGUGGUGCUGCAGGCUGGCCCUAGAACUCGUGGGCUUUGGGCCAUGGGGACAGCUUGGGUCAUGCUUGGGGUUACCCCUUCCCGGAGGUUGAAUGGCGGGAGUGGUGGCUUCCUAAGGCGGGAAGUCCCACUGUUGAGCAACCUGUCCUGGGAAUUUGCCACCCGGGCUGCUUCUGAGCCAUGAAGUCACCUCCAGGGUGGCAGCAUCUUGGGUCCAAGGAAAGGGGAGCAUACCAUGUGCCCCCAGAUUGGUUGAGUGUGGCCUGGCUCUGUGUUUGGGAGGUGUGCAGGGCAUGGAUGGGGACCCAUCAGAGAAAGUAUGUAGCCCUGGAGCCCCAGGCUGUGAUUUCCAGUGUGUGCUUGGAAAGGGGCAGGGGCAGGCUCUCAACUGCCAAGUCUGCAGCAGCAUAUGGCAUCCGGGCCAGCCUCCGGGUUGGCCGUGUGCUGAUUGGUGGCCUUGGCCUGUGCCCAGUGGUCUCAGGGUGGACCUGGCAUUGUGCAGGGCAGCUGGCAGGGCAGUGGAGGUGCUCUCAGGGCCUGCAGUAGGGCACAGCCUGGACUUUUUGGGUGAGACCAGUGACCCAUCUGCCCUGUCCUUCAAGGGUUGGGUGGCUGGGAGGGCCAAGGGUGGUCUGUGUCCAUCUCCGUGAUGCAUCAGUGCUCCGCAUGGAUCCUAUCACAUGGAUAUCCCCUACCCACCUUCCCCACAUGGAGGCAUGAGGCCCUACUUGGACACAUGUCCUCCUGUCCUAGAUGGUGAGCUUGGAGGAAGACUUGCAUUGGAACCAAUGGACCCGGGGCCAGUGUCUGUCAGCCAGGUCCCCAGCUCCUGAUGGGCUGAAGCUCAGGCCCUUCCUGGAGCCCUGGUCUCCUGCCCUGAGCUGUGAUGGUGAGCCUGGAGAAAGACUUGCACUGGGCCUGCUGUGCCCCAGCCAGAGGCCAUUAGCCAGGUGCCCAGGUCCUGUUGUACUGAAGCUUGGGCCCUUCCUGGCACCCUGGUCUCCUUCAUGGAGCUGUGAGCUCUUCAGCUCAGAAGGGCCCCUUCACCUUGAUUAGCGUAGAUGGUGAGCCUGAAGGAAGACUUGCAUCAGGACCAAUGGACCCUGGCAAGCGUCCAUCACCCAGGUGCUCAGCCCCUGGUGUGCUGAAGCUCAGGCCCUUCCUGGCCCCCUGAUCUCCUGCACUGAGCCGUGUGAGCUCUUCUGCCAAGGGGGGGCCUCCUGGCAUUGACCAACAUAGGUG